rnacentral:rRNA from 1 species
CUGUCUUAGUGGCGACGGGUGAGUAACGCGUGGGCAACCUGCCCUGUACCGGGGGAUAACACUUAGAAAUAGGUGCUGAUACCGCAUAAUAGGGAAUACCGCAUGGUAAUCCUUUGAAAACUCCGGUGGUACAGGAUGGGCCCGCGUCUGAUUAGCCAGUUGGCGGGGUAACGGCCCACCAAAGCGACGAUCAGCAGCCGGCCUGAGAGGGUGGACGGCCACACUGGGACUGAGACACGGCCCAGACUCCUACGGAAGGCAGCAG